CCGACUUUAGCUCAGUUGGAAGAGCAUCAGACUGUAAUCGGGCAUUAUUUAAUCUGGGUGUCGCCUGUUCGAACCAGGCAAGUCGGA